UGGGGUUUGUAUUGCUUGAUCUUUAGUUUUUUUAUGUAAUACUUUGAAGAUUGUUGUUUGAAUUGUUUUUGUUCUUCAUUUUUUGCCAUGGCGUUGUCAGUUUCUCUUCAACAUACAUUGUAAAAGAGUUGUGAAUAUAUCCUGUGAUAUCUUACAUCUCUUUUUUUGUUCCCUGGAAUUUUGUAUAUUGAAAUUCUUCUCACUGUAAUGAUAUUGAUUUUUUCCUAUUCUCCUUCUUACAAAACUACACACCUGUAUCUUUAUGUACAGUUUAUAGACAACAUAGGUCACAUGACAUAGGUCACAUGACACUGACUGACUCUGAGAAUACUACACACCUGUAUCUUUAUGUACAGUUUAUUGACAACAUAGGUCACAUGACACUGACUGACUAUGAUAAUACUACACGCCUGUAUCUUUCUGUACAGUUUAUUGACAACAUAGGUCAUAUGACACUGACUGACUAUGAGAAUACUACACGCCUGUAUCUUUCUGUA
rnacentral:lncRNA from 1 species